CCUACGGGGGGCUGCAGUAACGAAUCUUCCCCAAUGCACGAAAGUGUGAGGGAGCGACGCCGCGUGGAGGAUGAAGUCCUUCGGGAUGUAAACUCCUGUCAGGGGUUAGAUCAACCCCAAAGGAAGAGGCGGCUAACUCUGUGCCAGCAGCCGCGGUAAGACAGAGGCCUCAAGCGUUAGGCGGAAUCACUGGGCUUAAAGCGUGUGUAGGCGGAUCGUUAAGUGCCUUGUGAAAUCCCACGGCUCAACCGUGGAACUGCUUGGCAUACUGGCGGUCUUGAGCCAUCUAGGGGUCGCUGGAACAAACGGUGGAGCGGUGAAAUGCGUAGAUAUCGUUUGGAACGCCUAUGGUGAAAACAGGCGACUGGGAGUGCUGACGCUGAGACACGAAAGCCAGGGGAGCAAACGGGAUUAGAUACCCUUGUAGUC
rnacentral:rRNA from 1 species